GCGGAAACAAUAUGCAAGUGUACCAUCAGGGGAUUUUACUGUUAUAUGUUCAGAUGACGUGAUGUUAAAAUUACAGGUCUGAAGAGUGUGGCGUUAGUUGGCAACGUCCAAACGGUCCAACCUGCACAUGAAAUAUUAGUGGACUCGUGGAGCAAGAAACCAAUCAUUAGACAUUAUCACUAGCCCAUAUCAACGGUUGUUAUCUUAUAUUAUAGUUUCACUGUUUUACUGUCCACGGCCUGCACAAUUCGGGAAAAAACAAGAGUUAGAAGUAGCAAUAGAUUUCCUCCAGGUAUUCACUCCGUCUGCGAUCUCAUCUGACAAGUAUUGCUUUGGGGUUGCAGGGAUUCCAUAACAGGGUGGUAGUGAAGUUACCAGGAAUAUGCAGGCUCCAGGGUAGUGGGAAGCAUGUCAGCUGCUGCACACACUUCUGCACCUAAAUAUAAAUAUGACUUUUUUGUUUGUCACCAUCAUGAUGACAGAUCAGUAGCAGAAGAUUUGUUGGAAUAUUUUGAAAAGGUGGACAUUGCUGGGAGGAAGUUGAAGGGUUAUUAUGAUAACCGAGAUGGAGAUGGUGGUAAAUCAGAAAUUAAGAAUUUGGAAGAAGCUAUUGACAACAGUCAGUUAAUUUUUCUUUUACUGUCCAAAGACUGUACACGUUGUAACUGGUAUGAACACAAAGUGCAUACAAGUUUGCAGACAUCUCUAGACGAUCAAGAAAGAAAGGGCUGUGUAAUCCCAAUUUAUAUUAAUAUUAAGAAAAAUGAUGCACCUUCAUCUCUCAGGUCUAUAUGUGGUGUGGCAUAUAAAGAAAGCAAAUCAAGCUAUUUUUGGAAAAGAUUAAAGGAUAUGUUUGAUAAAUAUCUUGGACAGUCAAACAGUUGACCAAGAGGAAGUAGACUGAAGGUCUAACCCAUAAUUCAGUUUUUGAUUAUUUAAAAAAGAAAAACCAUUGACAACAAUUUGUAAUUUUUGAUUGAUUAAUUUUUCUUUUUCUGUCCCAAGACCGUACAAGAUUUUACUACAGUGUAGUAUGGACACAAAGUGCAUACAAGUUCUGACAUCUCUAGAUGAUCAAGAAUGAAAGAGCUGCGUAAUCCCAAUUUAUAUUAAUAUUAAGAAAAAUGAUGCAGCAUCAUCUUUCAGUUCUAUAUGUGACAUAUAAAGAAAACAAAUCAAGCUAUUUUUGGAAAAGAUUAAAGGCCAUGUUUGAUAGAAUUAAAAUAUUGGACAGUCAAACAGUUUAGUGGAGGUCUCACCUGUAAUUCAGUUUGUGAUUAUUUGAAAAGUAAAAUGAGAGUUUUUUAUAUUAUUAUAUAAAGGUAUUAUGUAGAUUUUGGGGGGCAAUUUGAGAGAAGAUAAUGCAGUAAAAUACAUUUAAGUCUCAUCAUGGACAAAGUCCAAUAAUUUUCUUCAUGGUUUUAUUGUUAAACUUCCUGGUGUUGAAUGUUUAAAGAUAAUACAGCAGUAUGUGAAGAGAAACCUAAAAAGUGACCACACAUACAAUUUAAUUUACAUCAAAAAAAUUGAAGAACUUACACUACAAAUGAUUUUAUAUUUAUACAGUGUAUAUUCCACCUUGGGAGAAUAAAUGCUUUAAUUUA